rnacentral:rRNA from 2 species
UAGGGAAUCUUCGGCAAUGGACGAAAGUCUGACCGAGCAACGCCGCGUGAGUGAAGAAGGUUUUCGGAUCGUAAAACUCUGUUGUUAGAGAAGAACAAGGACGUUAGUAACUGAACGUCCCCUGACGGUAUCUAACCAGAAAGCCACGGCUAACUACGUGCCAGCAGCCGCGGUAAUACGUAGGUGGCAAGCGUUGUCCGGAUUUAUUGGGCGUAAAGCGAGCGCAGGCGGUUUCUUAAGUCUGAUGUGUAAGCCCCCGGCUCAACCGGGGAGGGUCAUUGGAAACUGGGAGACUUGAGUGCAGAAGAGGAGAGUGGAAUUCCAUGUGUAGCGGUGAAAUGCGUAGAUAUAUGGAGGAACACCAGUGGCGAAGGCGGCUCUCUGGUCUGUAACUGACGCUGAGGCUCGAAAGCGUGGGGAGCAAACAGG